GAGACGGCAGCCAUCAUUUGCUACCUUUCCUUUAUCUGUCUCCACCAUUUUGUUGUACCACGGGUGCCGCCCACCGCCCGUCCUCCGUGGAUUGUCCUUGGGACCUCCGGAGCCGAAAGGACCCGGCCCUCCUGAACGAGGAGAAAGACUUUAGCCUUUGCGAGGAGAGUCCAGCCGUCAUUUGCCACCCUUCCUUUAUUGGUCUGCACCCAUUUCGUGGUACCCCGGGUGCCGCCCACCGCCAUUCCUCCGUGGGAUCUCCUUGGGCUUUCCGGAGCUGACAGGACCCGUCCCUCCUGAACGAGGAGAAAGGCCUUAGCCUUUGCAAGGAGAGUCCAGCCGUCAUUUGCCACCUUUCCUUUUAUUUGUCUGCACGCGUUUCGUUGUACCACGGGUGCCGCCCACCGCCAUUCCCCCGUGGGUUGUCCUUGGGAUUUCCGGAGCUGAAAGGACCCGUUGCUCCUGAACGAGGAGACAGACCUUAGCCUUUGCAAGGAGACUCCAGCCAUCAUUUGCCACCUUUCACUUUAUUUGCCUGCACCCAUUUCCUUGUACCAUGGGUGCCGCCCACCGCCAUUCCUCCGUGGAUUCUCCUUGGGCUUUCCGGAGCUGAAAGGACCCCGUCCCUCCUGAGCGAGGAGAAAGACCUUAGCCCAGUUGGUUGUGCAGCGCAGAGCCGGCCCUUCUGAAAAGAGCAGAAUGUCUUCAGACUUGGCAAGGAGGCCCCCGCCGUUAUUUGCCACCUUUCCUUUAUUUGUCUGCGCCCAAUUGGUUGUGCCAGGGGUGCCGCCCACCUCCAUUCCUCCGUGGAUUCUCCUUGGUCUUUCCGGAGCUGAAAGGACCCGUCCCUCCUGAGUGAGGGGGAAGACCUUAGCCUUUGCAAGGAGGGUUCAGGCCUCAUUUCCGGUCUUUCCUUUCUUUGUCGGCAGCCCUUUGGCUGGACCACGGGUGCCGCCCACCGCCAUUCCUCCGUGGAUUCUCCUUGGGACCUCCGGAGCUGAAAGGACCCGUGCAUCCUGAACGAGGAGAAAGAUUUUAGCCUUUGGAAGGAGAGGUCCGCCAUCAUUUGCUACCGUUCCUUUACCUGUCUCCCCCAUUUCGUGGUACCCCGGUUGCCGCCCACCGCCCUUCCUCCGUGGAUUGUCCUUGGGACCUCCGGAGCCGAAAGGACCCGGCCCUCCUGAACGAGGAGAAAGACUUUAGCGUAAGCCGUCAUUCUUUGCAUUCCCCUCCUCUUCCCCUUGUGACUUCCCCUGGGAACACCAUUGAGAGCCCAUGGGAAUGAAGUAA